CUCUAACAUUCAGGAAAAACUCGUUACUACUAAACCGCAAAGUGCUGGUGAUGAAGCUAGAAGAAGCAGCCACUCUAACAUUCAGGAAAAACUCGUUACUACUAAACCGCAAAGUGCUGGUGAUGAAGCUAGAAGAAGCAGCCACUCUAACAUUCAGGAAAAACUCGUUACUACUAAACCGCAAAGUGCUGGUGAUGAAGCUAGAAGAAGCAGCCACUCUAACAUUCAGGAAAAACUCGUUACUACUAAACCG